CACCGAUAUUUAGACGAUUGUAAAUAUAAUACCUCACGUAAACACGUAUACGGACAAAAUUCCAGCGAAGCAUUAUUUCGGAAGUUAGACAUUAAUGAGGCUCAAAACAUCGCUGUUUUUGGUGAAAGAGUGUUUGCGCAUCGUCUCUUCUGUUCCGCAAACGCACCGCGCUGCCCUCUGUCCUCGGCACACAAAAAAAGGUGAAACGAAGGGGAUUAAAUCAGACAAAGGGCAAACUUCUGUAAGUGUAUCAUCAAGAUUUUACUCCACAGACUGGGAAGAGAGCGAGGGAGAGGCGAGAGAGAGGGAGAGGGGCAGCGAAUGGGAACGCAAGGCGAAGGCAGGGAAACAGCGAGAGAGAGAGAGGGAGAAGAGAAGAAGGAGAAGUGGACACCGCUGCAAACACACGCCGCUACACUGCAACACCGUUCCCUGGAAUUCUGCUCGUUUCGCACAGGUUUGGCUAACAGUGAAACUUGAGCAGCUGCAGUGAAUGUCUACAGAUUGAGAGGGGCAGUUGAGAAUGUCAGUUUUCCAUCUUUGUCCGUCUUGUCAGUAUUUGAGUGAAAUCGUCCCUCGUCAUUACUGCGAUGCUGAAAUGUCAUCUUUUGACAAAGCGACUGACUAAGUGUGGGCUUUUGGACACACUUUC
ensembl:lncRNA